GAUGAACGCUAGCGGCAGGCCUAACACAUGCAAGUCGAGGGGCAGCACGUCUUCGGAUGGUGGCGACCGGCGCACGGGUGCGUAACGCGUAUGCAACCUACCUCUUACAGUGGGAUAGCCCAGAGAAAUUUGGAUUAAUACCGCAUAGUAUACAGAUUCAGCAUUGGGACUGUAUUAAACAUUUAUGGGUAAGAGAUGGGCAUGCGUUCUAUUAGUUAGUUGGAGUGGUAACGGCACCCCAAGACAGCGAUAGAUAGGGCCCUGAGAGGGGAUCCCCCGACACUGGUACUGAGACACGGACCAGACUCCUACGGGAGCAGCAGUGAGGAAUAUUGGACAAUGGGCGAGAGCCUGAUCCAGCCAUGCCGCGUGCAGGAAGACGGCCCUAUGGGUU
rnacentral:rRNA from 1 species